rnacentral:lncRNA from 1 species
GGCAAAGCCUUCUCAGAAGAGUGGCUUCCAGGGCUAGGGCUGUGGGCAGCAGUGGGGAAGGGGCUGCUCAUCAGCCUGGAGGAGGCAGGGGGCCUCGAUGGGAAGCAGUGGAGUGUUGCAUCCGCUGUGGAGGAGCUCAGCCCUUGUGUGGGGCGUGUUUUGGAGAAAGCUGGGUGGAGAGACUGGAAGAAUACAGAAAGGCCGCAUAAGGUCAGAUUCAGCAGUCCAUGCGGUGCAGCGUUCUGUCCCUGGCAACAGGACCCUGGGACGGUUUUGAGUAGAGAG